rnacentral:rRNA from 1 species
AACGAUAAUGACGGUACCGGGAGAAGAAGCUGCGGCUAACUACGUGCCAGCAGCCGCGGUAAUACGUAGGCAGCAAGCGUUGUUCGGAGUUACUGGGCGUAAAGAGUGCGUAGGCGGUUUUCUAAGUUCGGUGUGAAAUCUCCCGGCUUAACUGGGAGGGUGCGCCGAAGACUGGGAAGCUGGAGUGUGGGAAAGGCAGGCGGAAUUCCUGGUGUA